GUGCCAGCAGCCGCGGUAAUACGGAGGGUGCAAGCGUUGUUCGGAAUUAUUGGGCGUAAAGCGCGUGCAGGCGGCUGGGUAAGUCAGAUGUGAAAGCCUUCCGCUUAACGGAAGAAGUGCAUUUGAAACUACCCGGCUUGAGUUCGGGAGAGGAGAGUGGAAUUCCCGGUGUAGAGGUGAAAUUCGUAGAUAUCGGGAGGAACACCGGUGGCGAAGGCGGCUCUCUGGCCCGAUACUGACGCUGAGACGCGAAAGCGUGGGGAGCAAACAGGAUUAGAUACCCCCGUAGUCC
rnacentral:rRNA from 1 species